rnacentral:rRNA from 1 species
GCAGCAGCCGCGGUAAUACGUAGGUGGCAAGCGUUGUCCGGAAUUAUUGGGCGCAAAGGGCUCGCAGGCGGUUUCUUAAGUCUGAUGUGAAAGCCCCCGGCUCAACCGGGGAGGGUCAUUGGAAACUGGGAAACUUGAGUGCAGAAGAGGAGAGUGGAAUUCCACGUGUAGCGGUGAAAUGCGUAGAGAUGUGGAGGAACACCAGUGGCGAAGGCGACUCUCUGGUCUGUAACUGACGCUGAGGAGCGAAAGCGUGGGGAGCGAACAGGAUUAGAUACCCCCGUAGUCCCUGUCCCUUAUAC